rnacentral:rRNA from 1 species
GGAUGAGCUGUGCCUAGGGGUGAAAGGCCAAUCAAACUCGGAGAUAGCUGGUUCUCCUCGAAAGCUAUUUAGGUAGCGCCUCGUGUAUCACCACCGGGGGUAGAGCACUGUUUGGGCUAGGGGGUCAUCCCGACUUACCAACCCCAUGCAAACUCCGAAUACCUAGGAGUUCAAUCACGGCAGACAGACAGCGGGUGCUAACGUCCGUUGUCAAGAGGGAAACAACCCAGACCGCCAGCUAAGGUCCCUAAUACACAUUAAGUGGGAAACGAUGUGGGAAGGCUAAGACAGCUAGGAGGUUGGCUUAGAAGCAGCCAUCCUU